rnacentral:tRNA from 2 species
CGCGGGAGGGUUGGGAAGGGUUUUUCCGGGGAGCCCCAUAAGCUCCUGAAGCGGGUUCGACUCCCGCCCCCGCAA